rnacentral:tRNA from 1 species
GCCUGGAUGGCGGAAUUGGUAGACGCAGCGGACUUAAAAUCCGCCUCUCGAAAGAGAGUACCGGUUCGAUUCCGGUUCCAGGCA